AUGAGUAAAGUGGCGACCGGGUGAGUAACACGUGACUAACCUACCUUCGAGUGGGGGAUAACAUCGGGAAACCGAUGCUAAUACCGCAUAACAUCGCAAGAUCAAAGCAGCAAUGCGCUUGAAGAGGGGGUCGCGGCUGAUUAGCUAGUUGGUAGGGUAAUGGCCUACCAAGGCUUAGAUCGGUAGCCGGCCUGAGAGGGCGCACGGCCACACUGGAACUGAAACACGGUCCAGACUCCUACGGGAGGCAGCAGUGGGGAAUUUUGCGCAAUGGGGGAAACCCUGACGCAGCAACGCCGCGUGGAGGAUGAAGUCCCUUGGGACGUAAACUCCUUUCGACCGGGAAGAUACUGACGGUACCGGAAGAAGAAGCACCGGCUAACUCUGUGCCAGCAGCCGCGGUAAUACAGAGGGUGCGAGCGUUGUUCGGAAUUAUUGGGCGUAAAGGGCGCGUAGGCGGCGCGGUAUGUCACCUGUGAAAUCUCCUGGCUCAACUGGGAGCUUGCAGGCGAAACUGCCGUGCUGGAGUGUGGGAGAGGUGCGUGGAAUUCCUGGUGUAGCGGUGAAAUGCGUAGAUAUCAGGAGGAACACCUGUGGCGAAAGCGGCGCACUGGACCACAACUGACGCUGAGGCGCGAAAGCUAGGGGAGCAAACAGGAUUAGAUACCCUGGUAGUCCUAGCCCUAAACGAUGGAUGCUUUGGUGUGAUCGGUACCCAAUCCGAUCGUGCCGCAGCUAACGCGAU
rnacentral:rRNA from 1 species